AUGCUGACGUCACGAGCCAAUGGAAAGGGGCUUACCCCGAGCGGGGAAAUCUGCGCAAUGACUGACCUAUAUGGAUGGAUCUUGUUCCAGGCUAUUCUGAACCUAGCGUUCGAGCUCAGCGAUGAGGAGCCCCACCCGAAGCGAUACGAAAUCCGGCUGGAGAAUGACGCGGCAGAGACCGGAGCUAAUGACAAGGACCAGAACAACCCUCUUCAAAAGCGGGAACUUAUACUGUUUAGUAUCGCUAUAGGCACACUCGUCGUGGCCAACCUUUGCAACAUGGAGUCUUCCAUCGGCGAACUAAAGGAAGUGAUGGAGAUGCUUGGUCCCAUGCUACCUGCACAGCUCAUGAACCGUAAACCUCACGGUGGAGUGGAGGAUCGCGACGGUGGGGUCACUUGGAAGGGGAAGAUCAUCGAGUUCGACAUCGAGGAUGUUCACGUCUUCGUCAUCAGCCCUAACACCGAACAGAAGAUCUACAUCAGGACCAAGAGAGUUUCACUCAACGGGAAGGUCAUCGUGAUGCACACGAGAGAUCUGAUCAAGGAGUUGAGUUACCAAAAGCGCGGCGAAGGUGAUGACGCUUCUUUUUGGUACACGAACCUCCAGGUGGGCAGACUGAUGACGUCAGAGGAGGAGGAAGAGUUUAAAAAACUCCAUGCGCAGGUCGAAAAGGAGAGGGAGAAGGCUGUCAAAGACGUCAAGACGUUGGUGGAGAAUAAAAUGAAUGAAAUCAAGCAGAAGGUGGAGGAGAAACUUAUUCGCGCUGAAGAGGUGGUUAUGAGCAGGUUGCCGUCUGCAGUUAGGAAGGAUAUAGAAGGGCGCGUGGCUCAAUGGCCGGAUCGAUUCGCGGACAUCAAGAAUCGGUUGAAUAACGGAUAUCAGGUGCAGAAGAAACAGGUUACUGAUUACGCGACCCGCACAGUCAAAGACAUCAGAAAAGGAGACUUUAGUCGAAUCGCCGUUCCCAGCCUCAAAACUGUGAAUAAUUUGGGACCUCUCUGAUGAAAUUCGGCAGGAAAAAGGAGCAAAAACGGAGCAACAACCACCCCAGAGGACUAACAGCAACAGUUCCUCCUUUUCCAAGGGAUCAAUACGGUCAGCGAGUGGAUUCUUCGCGCUAAUCGGUAAUUCGAUCGGUAAAGAUACGAUAAGCGAAGCUAACUCCAAUAAGCUCAGCAAUUGGCUGGGCAAAGGCUUAUUCCCAUCAAAAGGAAAUCGCACUGGAAGUCCAUCCAGAAGUCCAUCCAGAAGUCCAGCCAGGGGCGGGUCGCAGCAGUAAACGAAAUCCGGUUCAAGACAAAGCUCUUUUCGCAAAGACUCAGGACCUGCAAUUUCCGAUUGACAUGACGCGACGCCCCGUAAUAUUUGGUCAGUUGUGUAGUCAUAUAAUUGCAUUAUAAUGGUUGAAUCUUUCAGAUUAGUUUUAAUCGAAACCGUGCUCCGUUGAAAAUGAUAAGAUUCUUUGCCGUAGUGGUGCGCACUGUGUUUUUCAUAUUUUGGUUGUAAGUCCACAAGGAAUGGAAUAAUUUUCUCUAGUCCCUGCACAUGCCCCAUGAUGUUACCAGGCCAUAUUCACGUAAAAAAUGACAUUGCUGAUUUGAAAAUUUUGUAAAAAAAAGUGUCCGGCUUGUUUCAAUGUAGAUUUUACAAUUGAAAAAUGCUACUUGAACCACUUCCUCGGUUCAAUUAGCUUUCUACUAUUGUAAAUGUACAUUUGAAACAUGUUGGACAUAUUUUUAGUUUAUUUUUUUGUGUAGUCAUACAAUUUCAUUGUAACGGUUGAAUAUUUCACUAUUUUAACAAUUUUAUUGUUAUAUCCGGGCUCCAUUUUUUCCCUUGUUGCGUAUCACAACGGUGUAUGAUGACAUUCGCUGUAUUCCACAGAGAAAAAUAGCCAUGCAUACGAUGCCCUUAAAACUGAGGUGAAUGGCUAAAAAAUCAUGACUGAUGUUUAUCAAAUAUAAUAAAAAUUUUUUUCUAAUUUGAAAGAAAAAACCAUUAAAAUUACAAUUUUUUCACCAUCGCAACUGACUCAUUCUAACGAUGAGAUUUAUUUCUUUGAUUAAAUUUUCUAGAGCUUAGCUCCGAUAGUUUUUACAAUGUUUUUUGUACAUGUGCGAUUAAACAUAAUAAAUUAUACCGCAUAACGACGUUAUUAUAUAUUACUCAUUAUCUACUAAUUAAACACGUGAUUAAUUUCUGCAACGGAUUCUAGCAUCUGAU
rnacentral:lncRNA from 1 species